UAUAACUAAUUCUUAUUCAUCUUAUAAGGCUCAACACCAUAUGUUCUAUAGGGGCGCCAGUUAUCCUACCAGAGUUUGGUCAUUUUCAGUCACCAACUUCAGUACUUGGAACAAAUUUUGAAUUUUGCAUUUAUAUACAGCUAAAUAAUGCAUGGGGGAGUGCUCAAAAUGAUACUUCUCUCUCUCUGGAUGGUUACAGAAAAGCACUCAUUUACUGAAUACAGACUAUAUGUCAGGCAGUGUAUUACGUUUCGUAAUACUUAAAAAAAAGUGAUUGGAAGUAUUGUAGACAAGGAAUCUAAGACUUGAAAAAAGUGAAAUAACUUUUCUGCAGUCACAGUUAGGAGUAGAGCCAGGCAGAUCUGUUAUCUACAGGGAGCUUGUAGUAGUGCACUUAUUCAAACAAGCAUGUACUUUAAUAAUUACGCUGUUUUUGAUAAUUAUGUUUAAGCUCUGUGUGUCUCUGUGCUUUGCUAUACACUCCACUCCUUUAAGAUUAUUUUUUUAAAACCUAUAGAGCUUAAUUAAAAGACACUAUUACAUUUAUUUUGGACAUAUUUCUUGCUGAGGAUUUAAAAUGUUAUGGAUUUUCAUACUAUUUUUUAUAUACUUACUUUAUGCAGUUGAUUUCCUUAAACCAGUUCUUGCCUAGUCAUAACAGCUUUCUCUCUCUUGAAUUGAUUUCUGCAGAAAUGUUGGUUAAUGCCAAGGGUUUCUUCAUUCUGCAUUUGCUAUUACAUAUAACGUUUCUCUUAAAUGGCCUUGUACUGAAGGCAGCCCUGUUGCCAACAGAAUCCCCUCCUCGUCCCCAAGCACGGAUUCUGCUCAGCAGCAACAGGAGCUCUGCGUUGUUUUCCUUGUUGGAUGUGUGUGCUAAAGGUGACAGACAGUCCUACAGCUUAGAGUGUGCGCUAAACUGUGCUCAGCCUUUGCUGUGUGAAUGGCACCGUGUUCUCAUGUUGCAGAUGGCUGAGAGCUGCAAGAAGAAGUCAGGAUCAUGAUGGCUCAGUUUCCCACAGCGAUGAAUGGUAUGUAACUUUGUGCAUGGUAGGAUGGGCUUUGUUGUGGUGGGAAGCCUAUUUGAAAUAUUUUGUAGAUAAAUUUGAUGUUUUAAAUAUAAAACUUGAAGUAUUCUGAUUGAAAACACAGAGCAUUUUAGAGUAUUACAUGAAUCUUCUUAUUAAUAUUAUGCAGUAAAUUCCAUGUUUUUGUUGAAGCAUUUUUUGGUAGUAUCUGGCAUGUAUGUUUCCCAUCAAACAGGUGAGAGUAACUUAAAGAUAUAUUCUGCUUAAUGCAUGAAACUGAAGGACAAAAAGCUGAGUGCCUUUAGGUGAAUAAUAAAUGUAUUUUAGUUGUACAGAUGGUUGCAAAUAGGUGAGGCCAACAAGAUUCAUUUAGCAAUAUAAACGUAAGAUUAAAUUUCUCUUUCUGAAUAUUUAUAUUAUUUAAUGUUUAUAAUGUCUAAUUAUUUGAUCCGACAACCUGCAGUUGACCUGGUAGAAGGAGAGAAGUGACUCCUAUAAGUUGUUUUCUGCCUGUGCUCCUUCUAGUAAAUAAAUAAAUGUUAUUUAAGACUAUGUAAGAUUAAAAUAAAUAUUGUUUUUAUUGUGGAAAUGGUGUAGAAUUAUAGAGAUUUAUACUACAGGUACCUUUUAAAUUAAAUAAUUAUUAUUUUUCCUUAAUAAAUGAUAUAUAAGUUUAAGACAGCAAUACUCUAUCCAGGUUUGAGGAUUUCUGGGCCUCAUGAAAAAGCUUUUACUAAGCUUAGUUUACUUACAAACUUCAACAUGCAUAUUAAUGAGGUUUACAAUUCAAAAAAACAUACAAGUAGUAUGAUCUCAUUCUUUCUUUCAUUCCAUAAAUAUUUAUGUCUAUUAUGUAGCUCAUUGCAUUAUAAAUAAAAAUCAUUUGAAACAAAUAAAAUGUUCACUGACAAAUAUGCUUAUGUGAAUAAGGUACAAAUUAUUAACUAGAAAGUGGUUUGUAGGCAUAAAGACAAUCAUUUUUUAAUAAACUUCUGAAAAUUGAUAGCAGAGAGACUGUUAUCUUUGUACUUAGCCUAUUAAAAAUAGUUAAGUAACUUGUGUAUAUCUAAUUCAUGUCCAAUUCAACAUUUAAAAUGUUAAUUAGCUGGGCAGUGGUGUUGUACACCUUUAAUCCCAGCACUUGGGAGGCAGAGGCAGGUGGAUUUCUGAGUUUGAGGCCAGCCUGGUCUACAGAGUGAGUUCCAGGACAGCCAGGGCUACACAGAGAAACCUUGUCUCAAAAAACAAAAGUGUUAUUGAAAGUCACAUCCAUGUAUAAUAUAAAACUUCAAGAGCGGUUUCUGCCCCUCUAGUUGUUGAUGCUUGAGGCUACUGAGACUUAACCUGUUAGCAUACCUAGAUGCUGUGCUUUGUGUUAAUGCUGGGACCUGUCAUCUAAUUUUGCCAUGUCUAUUUUAUCAUUCUGAGGUUAACUACAAACCUUGUAGGCUCAGUGUGACAUCUGUCCAGCAUAGUAGCCACACCAUCUAUUUCAGUUUAGAUUUAAACUAAUAAAAAUUAUGUUGCUGCAUUUCAUGUGCUAAAAGCCACAGGUAACUGAGGCUGCCUUAUUGGACAGUGCAGAUAAAGACUAUUUAUAUCAUGUCACAUGGUUCUAGUAAACAAGGUUUUUCUCCUUGUCGUUGGUACUUCACUUCCUUUUCCUUAUUCUUUUAACAAGACUAGAGAGUUGGUUGUCAGUGCCUUGUGUUUUUGCAACUGUAGCUUUGCUCCUAAUCAUUUGGACUGCAGAACUGUCCUUCCAAAGCCUUCUGAAUCACUCGCUUUGCCUUCUGCUUUUCAAAGACUGAAUACAUUUGCAGAUUGAGAGAACAUGAUAGAUAGGCCUUCAAGUGCUAGGCAAGGGGUUAGUGCAGAUGCGUGUUGCUACUGGUUGAUAUUGCAAUGUGAUAUAGCUUCUUUCAGCCUCAGGAUUAUGGGGUGCUGAAGACUGAAGAAGAGUUCUGAAAUCCAUCAUAGUGACUUUAUCCAUAAUCUAGUAAGGAGCGGAAGUGAUACAGAAUAAAGAAACAAAACAAACAAACAAACAAGCAGCUUUAAGAAUAACACCUCCCUUCCAUUUUCUUGGAGCUUUAUUACUAGAGCUUUAGGGCGUAGCACUAUUCCAACCAUAUGGCUAGGAAGCUGCUGAGCUAGGUGUUGAGUGUGUGCAGUCACAUACAGCACUGCACUGUACUUGAAAAAAAACAGGUUUUUAUUUUAUUUUUUAUUGGAUUUUUUUUUAUCAAUUUAUUUCAAGUGUUAUCCCUUUUCCCGGUCCCCCCCCC
rnacentral:lncRNA from 1 species